AACUUAUUAGCUUAAUAAAGCAUAUAUUUUGAAAAUAUAAGAUAGAAAUAAACUUCUAUAAGUUU
rnacentral:tRNA from 1 species